rnacentral:misc_RNA from 1 species
GUUCAACCGGGAGAGCUUGGGGGUUAAUGGCAGCGCCAACGGCAACGAUCCAUGGAGGGUAUCAUCAACCCACCACUCUAGAAGAAGUCAGAACCCUUUGGAUUGGUGAUUUACAGUAUUGGGUUGAUGACAACUACCUCAGUUCCUGCUUCGCUCACACUGGCGAGGUAGUUUCAAUUAAAAUAAUACGCAACAAGAUCACUGGCCAGCCUGAAGGUUAUGGGUUUGUGGAGUUUGUUUCUCAUGCAGCGGCAGAAAGGAUUUUACAGACAUAUAAUGGGACACAAAUGCCUGGAACUGAACAAACUUUCAGGCUGAAUUGGGCUUCUUUUGGCAUUGGGGAGAGACGCCCUGAUGCUGGACCUGAGCAUUCUAUUUUUGUUGGGGACUUAGCACCUGAUGUUACAGAUUAUCUCUUGCAAGAGACAUUUCGAGCUAAUUAUCCAUCAGUUAGAGGUGCCAAGGUUGUGACUGAUCCAAGUACUGGACGUUCUAAGGGAUAUGGAUUUGUUAAAUUUGGUGAUGAGAAUGAACGAAAUCGUGCUAUGACUGAAAUGAAUGGUGUUUAUUGCUCAACCAGGCCGAUGCGUAUUAGUGCAGCAACACCAAAGAAGACCACUGGUUAUCAACAGCAAUAUACUGUAGCAAAAGCCAUAUAUCCAGUUCCAGCAUACACUACACCAGUCCAGGUGGUUACACCUGAUAGUGACAUCACUAAUACCACCAUCUUUGUUGGUAACCUGGAUCCUAAUGCCACAGAAGAGGAACUGAGACAAACAUUUUUGCAGUUUGGGGAGAUCGUCUAUGUCAAAAUUCCUGUAGGAAGAGGAUGUGGUUUUGUACAAUUUGGAACUAGGUUUGCUUAUUUUCAAUAAAUAGCAAUUUUCUUCUUUUCAUUCUUGUUCUUUUAUAAUGUUUUAUGCAGGCAAUUAUAGUGUUUGUCUAUUUAUGUAUUUAUGAUUAAGCAUUUUGUAAUUCAGUUAGAAGUUUGGUUCAUCUUUAUUUAUUUCUCUUCCACAUUGUCAUAUGGGAUUGCUUACUAUAUCUCUCUUAUCUGUUAGAGAAAAGAAGCACCAUAAGUACCAACAAUGGACAGAGACAGACAAUACCCUUUUGGAGAUGGUCAAAUAAGGGCUAGCCCCUAUUUUAUAGAAAAGUUAUAGUCAUGGUUUUCAUGUACUUUGUUUCUGUUGUGUCAUAAAAUGUUUCUGUCCUCAACGGUUUUGUUUAUACAGGACAUCUGCUGAAGAAGCCAUACAAAGGAUGCAGGGGCAUGUGAUUGGUCAACAGCCGGUGCGCAUUUCUUGGGGCAGGAAACAGGAUGCAACGGGAAUUUGGGGUCAGCAAGUAGAUCAAUGGAGUGCCUAUUAUGGUUAUGGACAAGGUUAUGAUGUCUAUGGUUAUGGGGCAACACAAGAUCCAUCAUUAUAUGCAUAUGGUGCAUAUGCUGGUUAUCCACAAUAUCCUCAACCAGUUGAUGGUGUCCAGGAUAUGAGCGGUACUGUUCCAAUUGUAGAACAAAGGGAGGAACUUUAUGAUCCCUUGGCUGCUCCUGAUGUUGACAAGUGAAGUCUAUCUCAGCUUUGUAGUUUGUCUAAGUCCUAUAUAUCUGUUUAUUGGCUAAUUAUUUUGGUUGUUUGAAUUUGGUUGUCAGGUUAAAUGCUGCUUACCUUUCUAUUCAUGGAAAUGCCAUAUUAGGCCGGCCCUUAUGGAUGAAAACAUCAUCACUUUCCCAACAAGCUUAGGCAUCAUGGCCCUUUCUCAAUUCAAACUUAUGGUAUUUGUUGAUAUUGUUCUAAAGAUUGCAGUAGACAGCUGUGUUGAGAAGUAUCCUUAGAUGAGGGAAAUCUGGUGCCUAGAGGGAGAACUAUAAAAACAUGCUCGAGAUAUGUCUAUUUUGCUCAGUGCUCACUAUGCAGGCAGAGUAAGAUUCUGGAGAGAGAACAUUUAAAUUUGAUAAACCCUUUUUUACUUGAGCAUUUAUUGUUGGAUUGUGGCUCUGUUUGUAAAGGAAAACUAGAUCCUUGGCACUUUGUGAUGGUUGGGAAGUCUCUGUUCUCUCUCAGGAAUAGCAAUUUUAGUUAUAAAAUUUUAGUUUCUAAACAGAGUUUAAAAAUUUUUAGCUAAUAUAAAACCAAUUUGUUUUCAGGCUUAUGGUUAAGGUCACAGUGUGUGAUAGUAGAAUGUGCAAAAUUUAGAAAACCUAAUAAUUUUAAGCGAGGAUUCUCAAGCAAUAAUGUAAAUGUCUG